rnacentral:rRNA from 1 species
AUGGAGGAAGUGAAGCGGCUACACGCGCGCUUGCUCCGCCGCGGCGAGCGCCGCCUGCAGCCGCUCCUCCUCCGCGUCCUCGCCGCCGGCGACCUCCGCUACGCCGCGCUCCUCCUCGCCUCCUCGCCCCCCUCCGCCACUCUCCACGACCGCCUCCUCCAGGCGCUCGCCGCCUCGCGCAGCCCGCUCCUCCUCCGCUCCUUCUCCCGCGCGCACCGCCUCCGCCUGCUCACCCCUCUCUCCUUCACCUUCCUCCUCUCCUCCGCCCCCUCCUCCGCGCCCUUCGCGCUCUCCGCCCACGCCCUGCUGCUCAAGUCCGGCCACCUCGCGCCCGGCGACCCCUUCCUCGGCUCCGCGCUCGUCUCCUUCUACGCCAGGAACCGCCUCCUGCGCGACGCCAGGCGGGUGUUCGACGAAAUGCCGCGCAGGGACACCGCCGUGAGCAACGCGCUGCUCUCGGCCUACGCCAGGGCCGGCCUCCUCGACGCCGCGGAGAAGCUGUUCGGGGAAAUGCCGGACCGGAACGUGGUCUCGUGGACCGCCAUGGUGUCCGGGUACGCGCAGAACGGGCGGCACGAGGAGGCGGUGGGGGCGUUCCUGAAGAUGUGGGAGGGGGCAGGGGUGCAGCCGAAUGAGCUUACGGUGAGCAGCGUGCUGCCCGCGUGCGCGGCUGUUGGGGCCAUGGAGCUUGGGAGGAAGGUGGAGGAGUAUGCGAGGGGCAAAGGCCACCUGAGGAAUGUGUAUGUGGCCAAUGCACUGCUGGAGAUGUAUGCCAAGUGUGGCAGCAUCCAAAGAGCUUGGCAGGUGUUUCAGGGGAUCCGUCGUCGGCGAGAUCUCUGUUCUUGGAACUCAAUGAUCAUGGCAUUCGCCUUGCAUGGCUCGUGGAGGGAAGCACUUGCCUUGUUCCAUAAGUUGCGGAUGACAGGGGUCAAACCAGAUGGUAUCACAUUUGUUGGAGUCAUUUUGGCUUGCACUCAUGGAGGUUUGGUGGAUGAAGGCAAGCUACUCUUCAACUCGAUGGAAGCAGAAUUUAGUCUUACUCCAAGAAUCGAGCACUAUGGUUGCAUGGUUGAUCUGCUUGGGCGUGCUGGUCUCCUAAAUGAAGCCUACAGUAUGAUAGCAAGCAUGCCAGUGGAGCCUGACCCCGUCAUCUGGGGAGCCUUGCUCGGUGCCUGCAGCUUCCAUGGAAACGUAGAACUAGCGGAAGUAGCAGUAAACAAACUCAUCUUUCUCGAGCCACAAAACACUGGAAAUCUGGUGAUCCUGUCAAACAUAUACGCGUCGUCUGGAAAAUGGGACGGUGUUGCCCAGGUAUGGAAGUUACUCAAGGAGAAAGACCACAAGAAAUCAGCUGGGUACAGCUUCAUAGAGCUAGAUGGCAGGAUGCACAAGUUCCUUGUUGAGGAUAAGUCGCAUCCAAGAUUUGUGGAGGUGUACAGCACCCUUGACAGUGUCACAAUGCUCAUGAAGCUUGUCGGACUAGAAAAUGAGGAAGAAGCGGAACAGCUGUUUCUGUCACCUAUAGAGAUCUAA